CAUUGACGAACGCUGGCGGCGUGCUUAACACAUGCAAGUCGAACGGAAAGGCCCUGCUUUUGUGGGGUGCUCGAGUGGCGAACGGGUGAGUAACACGUGAGUAACCUGCCCUUGACUUUGGGAUAACUUCAGGAAACUGGGGCUAAUACCGGAUAGGAGCUCCUGCUGCAUGGUGGGGGUUGGAAAGUUUCGGCGGUUGGGGAUGGACUCGCGGCUUAUCAGCUUGUUGGUGGGGUAGUGGCUUACCAAGGCUUUGACGGGUAGCCGGCCUGAGAGGGUGACCGGCCACAUUGGGACUGAGAUACGGCCCAGACUCCUACGGGAGGCAGCAGUGGGGAAUAUUGCACAAUGGGCGGAAGCCUGAUGCAGCAACGCCGCGUGCGGGAUGACGGCCUUCGGGUUGUAAACCGCUUUCGCCUGUGACGAAGCGUGAGUGACGGUAAUGGGUAAAGAAGCACCGGCUAACUACGUGCUAGCAGCCGCGGUGAUACGUAGGGUGCGAGCGUUGUCCGGAUUUAUUGGGCGUAAAGGGCUCGUAGGUGGUUGAUCGCGUCGGAAGUGUAAUCUUGGGGCUUAACCCUGAGCGUGCUUUCGAUACGGGUUGACUUGAGGAAGGUAGGGGAGAAUGGAAUUCCUGGUGGAGCGGUGGAAUGCGCAGAUAUCAGGAGGAACACCAGUGGCGAAGGCGGUUCUCUGGGCCUUUCCUGACGCUGAGGAGCGAAAGCGUGGGGAGCGAACAGGCUUAGAUACCCUGGUAGUCCACGCUGUAAACGGUGGGUACUAGGUGUGGGGUCCAUUCCACGGGUUCCGUGCCGUAGCUAACGCUUUAAGUACCCCGCCUGGGGAGUACGGCCGCAAGGCUAAAACUCAAAGGAAUUGACGGGGCCCCGCACAAGCGGCGGAGCAUGCGGAUUAAUUCGAUGCAACGCGUAGAACCUUACCUGGGUUUGACAUGGAUCGGGAGUGCUCAGAGAUGGGUGUGCCUCUUUUGGGGUCGGUUCACAGGUGGUGCAUGCCUGUCGUCAGCUCGUGUCGUGAGAUGUUGGGUUAAGUCCCGCAACGAGCGCAACCCUUGUUCACUGUUGCCAGCACGUUAUGGUGGGGACUCAGUGGAGACCGCCGGGGUCAACUCGGAGGAAGGUGGGGAUGACGUCAAGUCCUCAUGCCCCUUAUGUCCAGGGCUUCACGCAUGCUACAAUGGCUGGUACAGAGAGUGGCGAGCCUGUGAGGGUGAGCGAAUCUCGGAAAGCCGGUCUCAGUUCGGAUUGGGGUCUGCAACUCGACCUCAUGAAGUCGGAGUCGCUAGUAAUCGCAGAUCAGCAACGCUGCGGUGAAUACGUUCCCGGGGCUUGUACACACCGCCCGUCAAGUCAUGAAAGUUGGUAACACCCGAAGCCGGUGGCCUAACCGUUGUGGGGGAGCCGUCGAAGGUGGGACUG
rnacentral:rRNA from 1 species